UACGGAGGGUGCGAGCGUUAAUCGGAAUUACUGUGCGUAAAGCUCGAGUAGGCGGCUGGAUAAGUCGGAUGUGAAAUCCCCGGGCUUAACCUGGGAAUUGCAUUCGAUACUGUCAGGCUGGAGUCUGGUAGGGGGUAGUGGAAUUCCGGGUGUAGCGGUGAAAUGCGUAGAUAUAGGAAGGAACACCAGUGGCGAAGGCGACCACCUGGACUGAUACUGACACUGAGGUGCGAAAGCGUGGGGAGCAAACAGG
rnacentral:misc_RNA from 1 species